rnacentral:rRNA from 1 species
GGGCUUUCGUCUUGUAAUUGGAAUGAUGGUGACAUAAAACCUCACCAGAGUACCAAUUGGAGGGCAAGUCUGGUGCCAGCACCCGCGGCAAUUCCAGCUCCAAUAGCGUAUAUUAAACUUGUUGCAGUUAAAAAGCUCGUCGUUGAAUUUCAGCCUUUCGUUUUUUCCCUCUUUUCGGGGCUUUUUGCGGGCUUUGUUUCUACUUUGAGAAAAUUAGAGUGCUUCAAGCAGACUUUUGUCUUGAAUACUUCAGCAUGGACUAAUAGAGUAGGACUUUGGUGCUAUUUUGUUGGUUUCGAGCCUUGGUAAUGGUUAAUAGGAACGGUUAGGGGCAUUCGUAUUUAACUGUCAGAGGUGAAAUUCUUAGAUUUGUUAUAGACGAACCACUGCGAAAGCAUUUGC